rnacentral:lncRNA from 10 species
CGCGGGUCCCGCAUUACAUCACUGGCGACAGCAGUCAGAGGGGGGAGGCAGAAGCGCCUCCUCCCCGCCCGGAGCCCAGGCGGCGGUGCAGGGGGAGGAAGGCACCUCACCUUGCCCCCGAUGAGGGGCGGAUCAUGCCAUGGCAGCGCCGGCGAGCGACAGCGGCGGCAGCCAGCAGAGCCCAAGCAGCAGCCCCGGGAGCCGGGAGGGAGCUGGGGUCGCCGCGAAGGGAGCCCCGGACUGCGGAGACGCAGGAGCCCGGGACGCAGCGGAGACGGUCUCCGGCCUCCCUCCGCUUGAGGACUACGAGUGCAAAAUCUGCUACAACUACUUCGACGCGGACCGGCGCGCGCCCAAGCUGCUGGCGUGCUUGCACACCUUCUGCCAGGAGUGCCU